rnacentral:lncRNA from 1 species
AUGGGACGCGGCAGCCCCGCCGCCGGCCCCGCGAGUCCCUGCGGGCAGGGCCGAGCUCCGACGGCUUUCGGGGAAGCUUUCGCCCUCCGCCGCGUCGCAGCUUUCCCACGCCCCGGCGCCGGGGCGAAAGGCGGCACGGCCGAGGCGGCGGGACGCAGCGGCGCGGGCGGAGGGGACCUUGCACGCACAGCCCCAGCUCGGCUCGCAGGGUGCCGGGGCGCCGGCACUGCCGGGUGCCCUCGCGGCUCCGGGACGCGGCCCCGCGCCGCACGCGGAGGCAGCUGCCUGCAACCUCCCCGUGGCGUCUGGGCGGCUGCCGGCCGGCGUGGAAGCAGACCCCCGCGGCGGGCAUCUGCUUCGUCACUCCCCACCGUUUGCCAUGACAGAGCACAUCGUGCAAAACAUCGGUUUCCACAGAAAUGUUCCAGUGGAAACGCUGGAGGCGUCAGCGGCUGCUUUCCGGCAACCUAUAGAACUUUAACCUCGCGGUGGCAGCGGGGACGAGCGUGCUGUGCGUUGCAGCGGGACGGUUUAAGGGAACGCGUCGGUGGAGAUGACGAACCCCCGGGCGGUGUCAGCAGCCAGCGGCCUGUCGUCACAGCAGACAGCAGACGGUUUAAGCCGACACGAGCUGCGUCUCCUCGCUGCCGGCACGCUGGGGUCCGCAGGCGGGCCAGGAUGCUCCGGCAGCACCGCUCCUCCGUCCCGCCUCCGAAGCUGCUGGGUCCCGCGCGGCUGGUGGAGGGGUCCGCCACGGCCGGGCUCAGCUCUUCGCGCGGCAGACGACGGGUCCUCCGGGCUGCCGGCCCCACGUCCUCCUCCCGCGGCAGCCUGGCUGCUUCCUCUCCGUGCCCAGACAGGUCGAGGCAGCACCUUUCCCGUCGCUCCCGUUCCAGGAACCGCCGUUUCUCCGGCGCUCCCGUGUGCCUCGGGUUAUCUCCACCAGAGACGCUGCCUACCAGUCUCCUGCUUUAUUGCAGCUUGCUCGCGCCUUCCCUUACUCGUGAAAGCGAACUUCACUAUUUUGCAAGCAUUUGCACCUGUCAGUUGUGA